UACGUAGGUGGCAAGCGUUGUCCGGAAUUACUGGGCGUAAAGCGUGCGCAGGCGGUUUGUUAAGUCUGCUGUGAAAUCCCCGAGCUCAACUUGGGAAUUGCAAUGGAUACUGGCAGGCUGGAGUAUGGUAGAGGAAGGUGGAAUUCCCGGUGUAGCAGUGAAAUGCGUAGAGAUCGGGAGGAACACCAGUGGCGAAGGCGGCCUUCUGGACCAAUACUGACGCUCAUGCACGAAAGCGUGGGGAGCAAACAGG
rnacentral:rRNA from 1 species